UUGCUGAUAUUCACAUAAUUCUGAUUUUGUAAUAAACAGGACGGGCUAAACAUUUGCUCUAAUAAGACCAUGCAUGUGUCCCAUACUAGUUCUGUACCUACCUAGUUCUGGUCUUUGAAUUGCUGUAUGUGGAA